rnacentral:rRNA from 1 species
UACGGAGGGUGCGAGCGUUGUCCGGAUUUAUUGGGUUUAAAGGGUGCGUAGGCUGGGAGGUAAGUCAGCGGUGAAAAGCACACGCUUAACGGGUGUCUUGCCGCAGAUACUACUUUUCUUGGAUGAGGAGGAGGUCACUGGAACGGAUGGUGUAGCGGUGAAAUGCAUAGAUAUCAUCCAGAACACCGAUUGCGAAGGCAGGUGACUGUACCUUAAUCGACGCUGAGGCACGAAAGCGUGGGGAGCGAACAGG